rnacentral:rRNA from 1 species
UACGUAGGGCGUAAGCGUUAUCCGGAAUUAUUGGGCGUAAAGAGCUCGUAGGCGGUUUGUCGCGUCUGCUGUGAAAGACCGGGGCUCAACUCCGGUUCUGCAGUGGGUACGGGCAGACUAGAGUGCAGUAGGGGAGACUGGAAUUCCUGGUGUAGCGGUGAAAUGCGCAGAUAUCAGGAGGAACACCGAUGGCGAAGGCAGGUCUCUGGGCUGUAACUGACGCUGAGGAGCGAAAGCAUGGGGAGCGAACAGG